CUUUCUACUUUCACUGUGAAAAAAAUGAGUGUAUAUUUUCAAACACAGAUACUAAUUAAUUCUAAAAUUGCGUUUUGUUUAGAAAAAGAUAAAAAGUGAUUUUUGCAUGUACACUUCCCCUUUAAACAGUUGACUAGGAACACAAAUGGCCAGAGUUCAACGUGGAUUCAAGAUCAAUUUGGUCAUUUGUAUCCUUGAACCUUUUUCAAUCAGUAAAUUAUUACGCAGCUGAAAAAAAUACAUGUAUUGGGAUUAAGGAUUUCUGUAUUUUAAGGUAAUCAAGUUUCAUAACAUUUAGUCAAAUGAAACAAUAGGCAUGAUAAGGAAUCCUCAAGAUUUGUCUGAGGAUGCAAGACAAUUCCGUAACAAUUCACUUCUGUUACCAGGUGCUUUUGGCUUUCAAGAUCCAAGUUUGAACUGCAAGAUCUAUAAAGAAUGUCUGGAAACUACCGGUAAUGUUUAUGAGAUCUUGAAGGAAUAUCCCUUACCCUCAAACCUCCAUCGUUAUGCAGCUGUAGGUCAGGUUCUUUGUGAUGUAGGGCAGGUUCUUUGUGAUGCAGCUGUAGGUCAGGUUCUUUGUGAUGCAGCUGUAGGUCAGGUUCUUUGUGAUGCAGCUGUAGGUCAGGUUCUUUGUGAUGCAGUGUAGUUCAGGUUCUUCCAAACUUACAUGCACCUUCUCUUUCAGUGAAUCAGUCAUAGUGUAGAUUGAGAAACACAAGCUGGUCUUAGUAGGAGGUGAUCUCGGUCUUGUACCUGACUACACUGUUUUCUUCAAUCUCAGAUGUUGCAGUGUUUUUGAAAGGCAAUGUGGUAGGAAACAUAUCAUUACGCCAGAUACAUGUAGGUUGUUUAUGAUGUUUUAUUUUAUCAUUAUGGGGUCAAUAUGCUGAGAAAAGGGGGACAAGAGGGGGAGACUGCAGAAACCAAUAAAAAUUGUCAUGGUUGAUGAGUGGUUAGGUAGAAUCCCCGAAAUUAAAGAUGUAAUGAAAAAACUUUAAAAAUAAUCCAAUUUUUAAACAGUAAUGUUCAGUGAGUAUUUUUAGUUAUUUGUCAUGUUGACCUUUCCAAACUGUAGGGUAGUUUCAUCUGCAAAACAGGAAAAGAAUGGUCUGACCUUUUGCCUAAGAAUUGCAUACUUUCAUAGAAGUACAUUUAAGUCUUAUUUUUAUUCAUAAUUACAUUCUACACUUUGUAAAUAUACUAUCACUAAACAUUGCCACACCACCAUGAUCACAGAACUUGGUUGAUGCAUGUCAUUGUAUCCCUAUUGCAUGGAGAGAUGCUCAUGUUAUCAAUCACUGGAUUGCCUGGUCCAGACUCGAGUAUUUUCAGACCGCCACCUAUAGCUGGAAUACUGCUGAGUGAGGCGUUCAACAACAAACAUACAUCACAGAAUAUUUACCUCUUGUGUUCUUUGUUCUUUUUGCAUUAACCAAAGACGACGAUCUACCUUACUAUGUUCUGUAGCAACUGACCCGAUUGAGGUGUUUAAGUUUUGUUGGGAGAAUAAUACAGUGCCCUUUUGGUGUUUGCUUUCCAUAUCCAUGUGCAAGAGAAUAUGCUCACUAUUUGGUUUGCCAGCCAUGAAGAGAGAAACCUUUCCGACAGUUGAGACCAUGAGUGCUGAUGGAAAAAAAUUAGGGAACUUAUAAAAUAGUUGCAGAAGACAGUUCUGCUCUUUCAGAUAGGGAUGAUUCGUAUCAAGAAAACAAGACAUUGUAAUGUGUGCAUAUGCACACUCUUUGUGUGUUGGUGCAAUGUAACAGUGUGCAUAUGGAAUGCACCGUCUUCGUGUGUUGGUGCAAUGAGCCAUUGUGUAUAUGCACUGUCUUCAUGUGUUGGUGCAGUGAGCCAGUGUGUAUAUGUACUGUCUUUGUGUGUUGGUGCAAUGUAAGUGUGUAUAUGCACUGUCUUCAUGUGUUGCUGCAGUGAGCCAGUGUGUAUAUGUACUGUCUUCAUGUGUUGUGCAGUGAGCCAGUGUGUAUAUGCACUGUCUUCAUGUGUUGCUGCAGUGAGCCAGUGUGUAUAUGCAUUGUCUUCAUGUGUUGUGCAGUGAGCCAGUGUGUAUAUGCACUGUCUUGUGUGUUGGUGCAGUGAGCCAGUGUGUAUAUGCACUGUCUUCAUGUGUUGGUGCAGUGAGCCAGUGUGUAUAUGCACUGUCUACAUGUGUUGGUGCAGUGAGCCAGUGUGUAUAUGCACUGUCUUCAUGUGUUGGUGCAGUGAGCCAGUGUGUAUAUGCACUGUCUUCAUGUGUUGGUGCAGUGAGCCAUUGUGUAUAUGCAUGGUCUUCAUGUGUUGGUGCAGUGAGCCAUUGUGUAUAUGCACUGUCUGCAUGUGUUGGUGCAGUGAGCCAGUGUGUAUAUGCAUGGUCUUCAUGUGUUGGUGCAGUGAGCCAUUGUGUAUAUGCACUGUCUGCAUGUGUUGGUGCAGUGAGCCAGUGUGUAUAUGCAUGGUCUUCAUGUGUUGGUGCAGUGAGCCAUUGUGUAUAUGCACUGUCUGCAUGUGUUGGUGCAGUGAGCCAGUGCGUAUAUGCAUUGUCUACAUGUGUUGGUGCAGUGAGCCAGUGUGUAUAUGCACUGUCUUCAUGUGUUGGUGCAGUGAGCCAGUGUGUAUAUGCACUGUCUUCAUGUGUUGGUGCAGUGAGCCAGUGUGUAUAUGCAUUGUCUUCAUGUGUUUUGCAGUGAGCCAGUGUGUAUAUGCAUGGUCUUCAUGUGUUGUGCAGUGAGCCAGUGUGUAUAUGCAUUGUCUGCAUAUGUUGGUGCAGUGAGCCAGUGUGUAUAUGCACUGUCUUCAUGUGUUGGUGCAGUGAGCCAGUGUGUAUAUGCAUGGUCUUCAUGUGUUGUGCAGUGAGCCAGUGUGUAUAUGCAUUGUCUGCAUAUGUUGGUGCAGUGAGCGAGUGUGUAUAUGCACUGUCUACAUGUGUUGUGCAGUGAGCCAGUGUGUAUAUGCACUGUCUUCAUGUGUUGGUGCAGUGAGCCAGUGUGUAUAUGCACUGUCUACAUGUGUUGUGCAGUGAGCCAGUGUGUAUAUGCACUGUCUUCAUGUGUUGGUGCAGUGAGCCAGUGUGUAUAUGCAUUGUCUGCAUAUGUUGUGCAAUGCAGGGCUUCAUGUGUUCAGGUAUGAGAAUCUCCCACGGAUCAUCAAGGGUCGCCUUUGUGAUACAUGCCAUUGCAGUAUACGCAUAAAUCAAAAGGUCCAUUUUCAGUGUUUUCUGAAAACAUUCUCAUUCCUGUGUGUUGUUGCAAGUUGAUGGGGACAGUCCUCACUUGGAGUAGCUACUUAACAGAUAGUGACAUAUUCUCUCACCGAUCCUCUUCCUGAUGUUGACCUACUUUGUUGAUAAUAAAGUCUGUGCAAAUGUU
rnacentral:lncRNA from 1 species